UUCACGAAGUUUAGAACGAUUCUGAGGGGGUCAGGCUUUUGGUCAGGUCGAUUUGACGUGGAAUGCCCCAUAUAUGUACAUAUAUGGAUAG